rnacentral:lncRNA from 1 species
CAGCUAUACAUAUAGUUCUCCCUGAAUACGGUAGAAAUAAGAUUGAGACAAUACUAAUACAAGACAAUACCAGGGAAGUAUGACAGAUCCAUCUGUAACCAUUCUGGAGCUAUUUUACAGCAAUCCCUAAAAUCCCGGUAAAUGAUACCCUUGGAAUGGAGGUACUGGAAUGCUUCUAGAACACACGCCACCACGAAUCGCGAUGUUGUCUCGUCAAAACUACCGUGAUCACGUAAUAUAGUCCAAACUUCACCACCUAAACACACCU